AUGAGGCAUGUUAAGCGUGUUGCUUUUGAAGGCACUAUAACAGGAAGGAGUUUCUAUGGCUGCCCAGUCCAGGCAAAUUGUGUGAAUUGUGGUGUUGUAGAGUGGGUUGAUGGGCCUUGGCCUCCAGUUCUUCAGAGAUGUUUGUCCAAGCUAUGGGAAAUGUUCCAUGAGCAGAACUGUGGAAGGGUACUUGACAAGGAUAAGUUUGAGAAGGAGUUGGCCAAGCUUAAGAUGGAAAAUGACAAGCUUUGCAUUGAGUACACCAAGCUUGUUGAUGAUGUAUCCAAGAUGUUUGAUUGGCAGGAUAGUAGGGUGGACAAGAAGGUGUACCACAAACAAGUGGAGGAGGAAGAACUUGAGAAGAAGAAGGAGCUAGAGGAGAAAGCUAUGUUGGAGGUGCAGAUAGAAAAGCUUAAACUUGCAAAAGAGCAGAGGUGCAUUUUGCAGAGCCAAGCUGAUAUCAUCAAGAACACCAGGAAGGCUAUGAAGGAUGUUGAAGUUGACAGAGAUGUUCUUAAGAAGGAGAAGGAAAAGCUUGAGCAAGUUGUUGCUGAGCUGCUGAAAGAUGGGUAUGGCAGCAAGGAGAAGUUAGGGCAAAUCAAGGCCAUCCUUGAGUCAUGA
rnacentral:rRNA from 1 species